CUCCCGAAGCUCUCUCAACUCUCCAUGUAGCUCUCUCUCUCAACCUCUCGCAUCUCUCUCUCUCCCUGGACUCACUAGAACCUUAGCACCUUCAGGAGAGGCUUGUAGCAAGCCCAGGAUCCCUUUGCCCGCGAGAUCGAAGACACGGAGCAAAGCUCCGAUGAGCUUUCUUCCUUUUUAAGUGGGGAUUUUGCUUCGGAAAUCAUUGUGGGUGAGCACACCCAUUUUCCGGCGAACCCAUGGACUUUGGAGGCUUUUCCGGUCACCUCCGACCGAGUUACGGUGUUUGGAAGGUAAAGUUGCUAGUGGAGAAAUUCUAUAUCCUUAUUCGUGCGAUUCUUCUGCUAAAGAAUAUUUGUGAGUGGACCCUUUCUAAAAUUACAUGAUUUUAUAAUUUAAUUGCAUAAAUGAUUAGCAUGCCUACGGAUUUACGAACUGAUUUAUGUUAAGCCUGUUUUUGGAAUUUAUUGAUUUCGUCUCGUGUUUUGGUGAGGAAAUAAAUUGCUAGCCUAGUUUGAGCUAUAUUUUAAUAUAUCGUAUUUUCUAUAAAAAUCAUGAACUGGUAGACUAUUCGAUGGAUGACGAUAGGAUGCUAGAACAUGUUUUAGAAACCCCUCUUUAUAGUAUAGACAAUGGAUGACUUUAUACUAUGAAGUGGUUAUUUAUGAUAGGCGUAACUAUUUGUGCGUACCUAGUAGACACUAUGCCGUCUGGGGCGAGGAACUGGUGUUGGCAUUUAGGCCGGGAGAAAUAAUCCCUAGCUACCGGCUGAGGGACAUGGAGCAAGCAUUGGGCCGGGAGUUGGUAAUCUCUGGCUACGGGCGCAGAGACCACGGAACAGGUAUUGGGUCGGGAGUUAUAUUUAUUUAGUGAUCUUUCUAGCAGCACACCGCGUUUACGAGAUGAUUUAUGAUGCGUUUACUGUUUUGAUUUCUGCGAUGAUAUUCCGCGAUGUGAUUUUUGAGAUAUUUGGCAUGCUAGGAUUUUUAUUAAAUUCAUCACUUAUUAUGCU